rnacentral:rRNA from 1 species
GUGGAUUAGAUACCCUAGUAGUCCAUGCCGUAAACGUUGGGCGCUAGGUGUGGGGCACAUUCCACGUGUUCUGCGCCGCAGCUAACGCAUUAAGCGCCCCGCCUGGGGAGUACGGCCGCAAGGCUAAAACUCAAAGGAAUUGACGGGGGCCCGCACAAGCGGCGGAGCAUGCGGAUUAAUUCGAUGCAACGCGAAGAACCUUACCAAGGCUUGACAUGGGGUGAAAACUCGUGGAGACACGGGGUCCGCAAGGGCGCCUCACAGGUGGUGCACGGUUGUCGACAGCU